rnacentral:sRNA from 1 species
UUGCAAUGCUUUGUUUUAAU